rnacentral:lncRNA from 1 species
CCUAACUUAGCCCCUUAAAGGUUAUGAAAUAUUCCUCAUUUUCUCAAUUCAAGUUGAUGGAGGAUUUUCCUAAUUCAACUGCCAUCCUGAUCGAGUUGAUCCAUGUAGAGCAGAGCCACUUUCUCUGCAUGACCUCGGUGAGGAAAGGCCAUUAAAAUUUAUCAUAGGCCAUCUUGAAAUCUAUAUUUAGCAUGGUUUCCCUUCCUAGUUACUUCUAAUUCAUACAACACCUCGAUGACUCUUACAGAACAACCACACCUUCCAUAAUAUGUCUGCUAGGAGUGAAAGCAGUUUCGGCUCUGCUAGUUAUCCUGCAGCUGGAGGAGUCAAUCUGAUUGGCAACACUUUCAGAUCAUUUUGGUGAUCACCUUAGGCAAACAAAUAAUGAAUCUGUAUUGCUAGAUAACAUUAUCAUAUUUUAAUCUUGGGAAUCAGGGAGAUAACUCCGUAGUUAACCCCAUAGCUUUCAGAAGAAAAACUCCAUAGUUGUCUCCCGGGAUUCAAUUAAUCUAAUCUCAUAUAAUUCACCUAGCAUCUCUUUGUCCCCAAGCUUGACUUGGUGCGAAACCAAGGUAUUUGGCAACAUGACGGAAAACCGCAGCGCGGAAAUCGAGGGGCUCGCAUGACGUAUCAUGCAAGGAAAACAGAAAACGGUGGGGCCCUAAUUAGGUGGGCCCCAUAUAUCAGUGAGCCAGGUUAAGGAGUCGUACGUCGGACUAUCCGCGUCGAUACGCAACCUUCUAGAUCAGCACAAUACAUCUAUAUCAAGCAAGGCCCAUACGUAUUAAUCAGCUUUAAAUACUUACGUUUUUUGCGAGAAUUAAAUACUUACGUUUUAUAAUAGACGCGUACGCCACGGCGUAUUUUUUUUAAUAUACUAGACUAAUUAGACAGCCGAGUCUGUAAUUCUUCCAUGGUAUUUGCAACAACAGAAAGAAAAAAAUCUGUGAUAAAUUGUGCAAUGGAGUCAUAGGAGAUUUGAUGUGGCCGGAUUUACCUUCCUUUAGAAGCAUAUAAAAAUUCAAGAAAAUGAACCAGCGAUGGCAUGAACAACGGGAAUUAAAACGAUAGUAGAGAAAAAAAGUAAAGAAAAACAAUGACGACGCUCUACAUUCUCACAGCCUCCAAAAACCGCAGCGCGGAAAUCGAAGGGCUCGCAUGACGUAUCACGCAAGGAAAAUGGAAAACGGUGGGCCCCAUAUAUCAGUGAGCCAGGUUAAGGAGUCAUACGUUGAACGAUCCGCGUCGAUACGCAACCUUCUAGAUCAGCACAAUCCAUCUAUAUCAAGCAAGGCCCAAACGUAUUAAUCAGCUUUAAAUACUUACGGUUUUGCAAGAAUUAAAUACUUACUUUUUAUAAUAGACGUGUACGCUACGGCGUAUUUUUGUUUUAAUAUACUAGACUAACUAGACAGCCGAGUCUGUAAUUCUUCCAUGGUAUUUGCAACAACAGAAGAAAAAAAAUCUGUGAUACAUUGUGCAAUGGAGUCGUAGAAUUUUAUGUGGCCGGAUUUACCUUCCUUUAGAAGCAUAUAAAAAUUCAUGAAAAUGUACACGCAAAAAAAUCAUGAAAAUGAACCAGCCAUGACAUGAACAAUUGGGAAUUAAAACGAUAGAGAAAAAAGUAAAGAAAAACAAUCUACAUUAAUUCUCACAGCGUCCAAGAACUGCAGCACGGAAAUCGAGGAGCUCGCAUGACGUAUCACGCGAGGAAAACGGAAAACGGAAAACGGAAAACUGUGGGCCCAGGCCAGGAGUACUGAUCCGAGGAGGAUCCGCUGAAAAGGAAAUCCGCGACAGACGGGAGAGAGAUAUACAUAUACGGCACGGAAAGGCAACCCCGAGUACUGAUUGACAGACACUCGUCCAACUCUGACUGAUUUCAUGCCACUUGUUGAUCGUAUCGAACGGCAUAUGUCUAACUCCUCUGCUCUUCUGUCCUAUGGUGGCCGGGUCACAAUCCUUAAUUCUGUUAUCUCUUCGUUGGCUACCUACACUAUGUGCUCCCUUGAAAUCCCAGCGAAAAUCUUGGAGCAUGUUGACAAAGCCCGUCGCCACCUUCUCUGGAGCAAACAAUCUGAUAUUGGCGAGAAGUGUCUGUCCCUGGCGGCAUGGGAUUUGGUGUGUAGGCCCAAAGCUCGAGGUGGUUUGGGAGUCAUCAAUCUGAAAAUCCAAAACAAGGCUCUGCUUCUCAAGCAUUUGGACAAAUUUUACAAUAAAAGUGACCUUCCUUGGGUUCACCUUUUGUGGAAUUCCUAUUAUACGACCAAUGUCCCUCGUGCUGUUGCUCCAUGUGGUUCCUUUUGGUGGCGUGAUGUACUCAAACUGAACCCAAUUUACAGGGGGAUUUCAAACUGCAUUGUGGCAACCGGAGAUAGCUGCACUUUCUGGAAAGACUUAUGGAACAAUCAUAUGCUCUCCGAGGAAUUUCCUAGAGUUUUUUCUUUUGCCAUUCAGGAGGAUAUCUCAGUCAAGGAGUUCAUUGCUGCUCUACCCCAUGCUCCCUCUCUUCAGGCACCUUUAUCUGCUCUUGCUUUUGAGGAAUUCACGACCCUUAGAUAGACUGUCUCAGGUUGCCUUGACAGCUGACGGCGAGCAUGAUUCUUGGACAUAUAUUUGGCAGAAGCCUUUCACAGCUAGUCGAUUUUAUGCUCAUUAUUUCGACACGUUGCCUGAGCAUCCUAUCCUGAUUCAUCUGUGGAAAAGUAAGUGUGUUAUGAAGCACAAAGUUUUUGUUUGGCUCCUUAUGAUGGAUAGGCUGAAUACAAGAAACAUGCUGAGAUGAAGGCGCUAUGUCCUUGCUUCUGGCUGGUCCUGCUUGCUCUGCCCGGCGCACCCGGAAGAGAAUCUCGACCAUCUAUUCUUUGCUUGCCCUUUCAGUCAGCAAUGCUGGAAUAUCCUUGGGGUUCAUUGGCAGAUGAAUCAACCCUUAACGGAACAUUUACAGCGUGCUAAGCUGGCUUGGCGUAAAGGGCUGUUUUGGGAGGUGUUUAUCCUCGCUGCCUGGGGUCUUUGGAAAGUGCGUAACGCCAAGCUAUUCGAAAACACCACACUCUCUUCAGCUGCCAGGAGGAUCUGCCUCAGAACUGAGCUUCUCCUGCAGGAGCUAGCAUUGUGAUCUAGGGGAUCUAAGGGGGCCUGUCCCUUGGAUCUUUUGUUUUCUUUUCUUGCUAAUGUAACUUGUACCGUUCUAACCCCUAAUACAACGUAGUAGGAGUCUCUCCUGCUGUUUUCCCCAGUCAAAAAAAAAAACUUAUGUGAUACACAUUUUUUAUACCACACUUAUGUGAUACACAUAAUAAAAAGUACUUAAGUCAUUUUCAAUAUGAAUACAAUAUUAUCAAUGGUAUUUCACAUAAGUUUUAUACUAAUUACUCCCUCCUUUCUCGUUUAUAAGGCCUUUCUAAAAAAUUAAACUUGUACUAGAUUCGUUCAAAACUCCGGUUUAUAAGGCCUUUAUUUAAACAUCACUACUGUUCAUUAAUAUAUAUACAUAUGUGAGAGUGCAAGCCGUGUGACGACAAAAACUAAUCAUCCUACGACAACAAUGAAACUUAAAAUUGGGUCAGAGAAUUAACCAACAAACUUUCCAUGCUUCAACAGUCACCAUCCAUUUUUAGUACUAACUAAUGGUCAUACUAUAAUUGGACGGGAUUAAUUUGCCGUUGGAACAAACAACAUAACAAGAGUAAGUAUACAACAUAAUCCUCUCUGGUCGGCAUGUAUUAGGACAUUAUGCAUGUGUCUGGAAUCAUUAAUUGCAGCCAAUAAUUGAAAAACAUUUUGGGCAAUAGUUGUAGAUUUAAAAUGGACUGUCAAGAUCAUGCAGCCAUCAGAUGACAGUAUCAACCUCAUACCCUCGAUCAGCCUAUAAAUACCCUGCAAAGGCGGGGGUAUACGGUGCACAACAAUACCCACAAGCAUCAUAGGCUCCUGCUCGUGGAUGAUGGAGCACCAGCAAGGACGGGCCAGAAACAUCCGGUGGCGGAAUCCUCACGGUUGGAGGGGACGGGACAAUCAAGGUGUGAUCAUGGUGAAGGGUGCUGGCCCUCUAGGGUUAGAUAAGAGGAGAUUCGGGGCAGCGGCGCGGCAGCAUGGGCCCAACUGGAAAGGGGACCCUGACGUGCCGCACCCUAAUACAGGCCAUUGAAAUGUGGGCCCCUAAUAGGUGAGCCCAACAUAUCAGUGACCCCAUGUUAAGAAGUUGUACGUCGGGCAAUCUGCGUCAAUAUGCAACCUUCUAGAGCACAAUCCACCUAUAUCAAGUAAGGCCAUAGGUGAUGAUUAGCUUUAAAUACUUGCGUUUUCAAUAUAGACCCGUAUGCAACCACGUAUGUAUUUUGAAAAUAAUAUGCUAAACUGUUUAGACGGUCGAGUACAUAAUUUCACCAUGGUAUUUGCAACAACAACAACUAUUACUACUACUAGCCAAGCCAGCCAGCAGCCAGCUAAGCCCCUUGCAUGAUGACGCCGCCGUGAGCUGGCAGCGGCACCGCCUCCGCGGUCACCGACUUGAAGGAGGAGGAUGUCCGUGCCGCUGCCCCUCUACGGGCUGAGGCUUCCUUGGCCCCAUGGUGGCACUCCUCUGCCACGUCCCCGAGGCGCAUGGCUGGCCCUGCGUCACGGGGGUCUUCCCCGGGGACAGGGUUGCCAUGCGCCUCCAGGCCGGCUUCAACGUGGUUGUCGUCGACCGUGGCUCCGACAGUGCCACCGCCGGCCACUACCAUGGCCGCGUUCUGCCUGCGUCCGCGUGCUGCGGAGUUGAAAGGGCCCCGAGGCGCACGGCUGGCCCUGCGUCACGGGGGUCUUCCCCGGGGACAGGGUCGCCAUGCGCCUCCAGGGUGUGAUUUGUUGGGUGUCGCCAGUUUUUUGCCCCGUAGUCCAUGCACAGCUGGUUUCCUGGUAAUGUGUUGAACUUCCCUCAUUUCACACCCGCUUGUUUGUUCUAUAAUGACAUGUAAAAGUAGACCGGUUUCAGCAAAAAUGAUUGUGGAUUAUGUUUGUUUGUUUUUCGGUAUCUAUACCAUUUUGAUUUAUCUAUAACAUGUUUGGCGUUUAUUUGCCAUGCGGAGUGAUGUCUCUACAUCUGGGGUUCUUUGCUUGUGUCAGUCCAUCAUGUGACAAUGUUCCGCCAUACUAGUGAUGCAGACGCAAUGUCACGCUGGAAUGAUAAUAGGAGCACAGACGCAAUGUUCCGGUUGCCUGAUAUGACCUGGUGCUACCUCUUUUCCAAAAAUACAAGGGGUAACAUUACUCCAUUAACAUGUGUCUGUCUUAUGUGAGACACAUUUUUCAUACCACACUUGUGUGAUACACAUAUAAUAAGUAAGUACUCCCUCCGUUGUUUUAUAUAAGGCGUACAUGUUUUAGCGCGAAUAUUAACAGAGCUCAACGACCGAACGGAGACGCACGCACGCACACCUGCAUGUCAACGGCCGGAUCUGCUGCAUGCAGCCGGGAAAGAUGCUAACUUCUCUCCAAGCGAGCAACCGCAUGAGCGAUUUUUCAGCAGUUACGACGCAAAUCGCCCCAACGCUUCGACGGGCCAGUGCGUGGGCGAGCGGCCGGCUAAUCGCGCGGGCGGGUGAGCGGGCCUGCGCGCCUUACAUUGCGUAAAAAGCUAGAAAAAAUACACGCCCUACGUAAAAAAACGGAGGGAGUACUUUGCAAUAUGAAUACAAUAAUAUCAAUGGUAUUUCACAGAAGUUUUAUACUAAUUACCCCCUCCUUUCUCAUUUAUAAGGCCUUUCUGAAAAAAAUUAAACUUCUACUCCAUUCGUUCAAAACUCCAGUUUAUAAGGCCUGUAUUUAAAUGUCACUAUUGUUCAUCAAUACAUAUACAUAUGUGAGAGUGCACGCCAUGUGACGACGAAUACUAAUGAUGCUACGACAACAAUGAAACUUAAAAUUGGCUCAGAGAAUUAACCAACAAACUUGCCAUGCUUCAACAAUCACCAUCCAUUUUUAGUACUAACUAAUGGUCAUACUAUAAUUGGACGGGAUUAAUUUGCCGUUGGAACAAACAACAUAACAAGAGUAAGUAUACCACAUAAUCCUCUCUUGUCAGCAUGUAUUAGGACUAGAAUAACUUAAUAUUCAAAAGAUAUUUUUUGAAUAUACAACAUAAUCCUCUCUUGUCAGCCUUAUAAAAGAUAUUUUAUUUCCAAUGGACCAAUUUUGUACAGUAACCAAGAACCAAGGCAAAAUUCAAAAAAAGAAUUAAUUAUAUGGUUUUUCAGAUGUUGGUAUUGUUCACCAUAUUCAAUGUAAUUGCACCUUUUAGAAAUAAAUUAAUAUCGGUUUUCACAUGUCAGUUUUUUUUAGCAUAUUCCGCACCGUUGCACCUUUUAGAAAUAAAUACUUACAGACAACGUGGACAUGCGGCUCCCAAACCUUAUGGAGCACACUGCUCUUAUAUCGACGAAGGCCAUACAUGUUAAUUAGCAAUAAAUACUUACGUUUUAUUAUAGAUGCAUAUGCUGUUGGUAUGCUUCUCAAAUAAAAAAUACUAGACUAAUUAGAUAGCCGGGUCUAUAUAUAUUUCCUCUGUGGUAUUAGUGACAUCAAGAAAACGCUGCCAUGCAAUGUGCAAUGGAUUUCUAAAAUUUGAGUGGACAAUCGACGAUGCCACCAUCACCCUCGGUCAGGCAUCUGCUUCCUCCCGCUCAACGAGAUGCCGCUAUUCCAGCUAAUCAAUCGAUCGAUCAGUCGAUCCGUCCAUCUAUAUAUCUUACCUAGAUUCAUGCUGAUCCGUCGAGAUUUCACUUGAUUAAUCGAUUCGAUCCCUUGAAGUGUCCCGCGGGCGCAUGAUCUGCACGCCCUGUUUGCAUUGAUUGGGGGGUGGCGCCAGAUCGAUGCCAUGUCUGGCUGUCCUGGGCUCCCGCUGAGGCCAAGGCGGAACUACGGCCGACUUCCUAUGAACGCCGUGCUCGCUAGUGUGCAUGUGGCCCGGGGCCCAAGCUACUGCCCUGCCAAAGGUUGCGGCUUUCUUGGCUCCACGGCAGCACUCCUCUGCCACAUCACCGAUGUGCACGGCUGGCCCUGUGUCACGAGGGUACUCCCCGGGGGACACAGUCGGCCGACAUCAACGUCGUCGUCGUUGACCGUGGCUGAUGGCGCCACCACCGGCCGCUCCCUGGUGGUGAUGCAGCUGGUGCCGGAGCCUUUUGGAUGGAUUGUGGUCAUGUUCUGCCUGCGCCUCCCCCCCCCCCCCCCCCCCCCCACCCCCAAUGCAGCCACGUUCGCCAGGGCCUUGUUCCGGUCGCCUGAGAGGACCUGGUGCCAGAUCAGCCUCACCUAUGUGCGCAAUGUCUAUGUUGAUGAUGACGAUGAUGGCUGCGAUGGCGACCUGAUGCAGCACUAUGAAGAGAAGACUGAUCUGGAUGUCAUGUGCACAAAUCUUUGUGCAGGGUACCCCGACCUGGACGAUUGCUUCGGACUGCACGUGUUCAUUGAUAUCAUUGCCAACCAAGAUCUUGAUAGUAUCCAAUUAAAGGAGUGGAUGAAUGGAUUUUUAUAAAACGAACGAAGGCAACCCGCCGAAGAGAUCAGUGCAGGGUACGGUAAAAGUAGAUUCCCGGUGAUGGCUGCCGCAAGGACUCUCAUAAGCACGCUUGGGUCGGCACUUUGUGGACAUCACCACCACUGAUGAUGACUCAUACUCGUUGAUGGUGUCUGCACGGUGUAUGUAGAACACGGUGACAACGCGGCCAUGCGGUCCCAAAUCACUCACCGACGGAGUCUGCACGCGCCCACUGCCAGGUGGACCCAUUUCCUCUUUCUGCGCCUUGAAAGAACCAUGUGUCCCACUUCACACUGCAAUUUAGCAAUGGUGGCAUAGAAGGAAAUUAAUUUGCGAUAACAAGAACGACACAUGUAAGCUCUCUGCAAUUGUUUCCGUAGGCACACAUAAUGUACUACCUCUUUUCCAAAAUAUAACGAGUGUAACAUCACUGCAUUAACAUGCGUCUAACUUAUGUGAUACACAUUUUUUAUACCACACUUAUGUGAUACACAUAAUCAUAAGUAAGUACCUUUUUAGCUAAAAUGGUGCAUCCAUUAAUUCUCUCGCAUGAUACCGCUUCAUAUAUUAACUCAUGUCUAUUCAUGACCGAUGCGAGAUUUAAUUAAUUAUGCGAGCUUUAAUUAAUUCUUGAUCUACACACCUCAUCUCCAUAAGGGUUGGAUCUUAGUAGAAGGAGAAUGCGAGCGCAUCAUCAGGGAAAGGGUACUCAUAGGGAAAAUUGAGUUCGUAAAAUUACAUUACAAGAAAAUUGAGCUUUAAUUCGAGAUCUGCACACCUCAUCUCCGAAAGGGUUAGAUCUUAGUAGAGGAAGAAUGAGAGGGCUUCGUCAAGGAAAGGGUACUCAUACGAAAGAUGGAGUUCUUGAAAUCAUAUUACAAUAUACCUGAUCCACCACAUGACAGAUCAUUAAUAAUAAUGGUACAAACAUCCUCUCCCAUGAUCCCAUUGACCCAUUUCACACAUUCUCCCAUGAUCCCACUUCAUAUAGACACUAGAGUACUAGAGUUACAUUACUACAUACCCGAUUCACCACCGAUGCGAGCUUUAAUUCUAGAUCUACGCGUCUCAUCUCUGAAAGGGUUGCAUAUUUGUAGAGGGAAAAUGAGAGGUCAUCGUCGGGAAAGGGUAGUCAUAUGGAUGAUAGAGUGUUCUUAAAAUUACAUUGCAACAUACCUGAUUCCACCUUGACUGCAAACUUUAGUCCUAGAUCUACACUCCACUCUGCUAGCAAGCUUGGAUCUAUGGAGUAGGAUUCCAAGAGAGAUUGUUAGUUGAAGGACACCACGACAGGUCUUCAUCAUGGGCUGCAACGUAGAUCUCUUUUGGGCACAGUUACCUGAUUCGAAGUUCGCUGGGUCGUGAUUCAUACUUGUGGUUCCUGACAAAACCAAUCAAAGUGACACUAACUUAUUACACUCGACUCUUAGGGUUUUAAUUAGGAGAUAUGAAUAAAAUCAGCAACCUAAGCCACUAGUUCAAUGGCUUCCAUCAAGUAUCCACCCGCGAGUAUUCUCUACCUUCAAUAAUUGCAUGUGUUACCCAAAACUCUCUUCUUUUUUAAUUUGGCAAGGCAGGGACUAAGAGUUUUCUAAACAUGCUCACGAAUUAGAUUGCGAAAUCUUUCAAAAGUAUAGUCAAGUUCAUAUGCAAUGUGGGCAUUUGAGGGCUAGAAUUCGACCAAAUAAAUUCUAUGCACAAUCCAAGGUAACCUAGCAUCAGCAUAAAGCGAGAAAGUUUUGUACCAUUCCUUGUCCCAGCAUGUUUUCAUUAAGCACGGAGCAGACGCUAUUGUGGUUGUAGUAUUCAAAAUUGACUUUGGACUUAAAAGGCAUUGGAACCAUAGUCAUUAAAACAAACUGGACACAGAUCCCCUGACGCACCGCACCCUGGCAUAGGUCGUUGACAUGUGGCCCCUUUAUAUGUGGGCCACACAUAUCAGUGACCCUGUUUUAAGGUGUUGUCCGUCAGACAAUCCACGUCCCUAUGGAACCUUAUGGAGCUCAAUGCGCUCAUAUCGAGCAAGGUCAUACAUGUUAAUUAGCUAUAAGUACUUAUGUUUUAUGAUAGACGUGUAUGCUACCCAUAUGUUUCUUAAAAUAAAAAAUACUAGACUAAUUAGACAGCCAGGUCUACAAUUCCUUCGUGGUAUUUGCAACAAUAAAAAAAAAAUCCGCCAUGCGAUGGUGCAAUGGAGUUCUAUAAUUGGAGCGGACAAUCGAAGUCGACACCGUCACCCUAGGCACUGCGGCAUCUGCUACCUCCCGCUCACCGAGCUGCUGCUAUUCCAGGUAAUCAAGCAAUCAGUCGACCCGUCCAUCUAUCUACCCUAGAUUCAUACUGAUCCAUUGAGAUCUCGCUUGAUUUAUUGAUUUGAUCCCUCAGAGUGUGAGCUGAGCGCCCUGCUUUGCCAUGCUGCGGGUUGGUGCCACAUAGGUGCCAUGUCUGGUCAUCACGGGCUCCCGCCGAGGCCACAUCACGCAACUUCUAGCGGACUUACUCCGAAUGCUGCGCUUGCGACCGGUGGCCCGGGGCCCAUGCCGUUGCCCUGACAGGGGCUGCGGCUUUCUCCGUUGGAAUUUUGGGUUAGACCCAAGGCCCAAUCUGAAGUUAAUUCUUGAAAAAUCUUAAAAGCCUAUUCAUGUAGUGAGAUGAGAAAGUGGAAAUAGUCCCACAUUGCUAGUUUAUGCGGAGUUGGACCAAUAUAUAAGGUAUGUUGGUUCUCACCUCUUGAGCAAGUGAGCAAGGGAAAUCCCUACGCGCGCUCUUCCUCCUCCGCUCGCCACGCCGCGCGCGUGGAUCGAGUUCGAGCCGGAUCGUGCUUAUUUUUUUGGCAGUCGGAAUCCGUUGCGGACGCGUAACAAAUUCCGAUAAUUGCGGAGUUUCCUAAACCGAACCGAAGUCCGCCUGCGUGCCUAUAUAAUAAGACUACCCCGGCCUCCGGACGGACGACGCAAAAACCCUAGCCGUCACGCCCACGAUCCAAUCUCGUUGUUCGCCGCCAACUGCUACUUCAUCCCGUCGACUGCGUGCACAGAUCGCCGGGAGAGCAGGCCGAUCCUGCCCGGGAGACGGUCGAUAAGGUUUUUGCGGAGCGUUCUCACGCGACUGCUCGCUUCUUCACGUCUCUGUUUCGUCGGCAUCUUCAUCACCAAUGGCCGACGACCUCGGAGAUCCCGCGGCUCAGGCUGCCGCUCUAGCUCAGCAGCAGCAGGCUGCACAACUCCAAGCACAGCAGCAGGCUGCCCAACUCCAAGCCCAGGCAACUGCUGCUGCACAGGCGCAAGCGCAGGCACUGGCUGCUGCUCAGGAGUUAGUCAAGGCUGCUGCUGCUGCCGGCGUGAACAUCGACGCCACCGGACUCGUCACCGACCUCAACAAACAAACACAAGAAAAGAGCACAGCACCGUACGUAAUCUGCUCUUUCUUGUUGAUUUUGAUUAGUAGUUCUAUUAUUCAUGCCGUGAGAUUAGAUGAGUUUUAUUGCUGUGUGUUGCUAUUUAAUUUGUCUAGUUUGCAUGAUAUAAUGUGCUACAUGUUUUACACACUGUCCUUCUGGAUUAAAUAUUCAUCGAAAUUACCUAAUUUUUCAACAAUCCAAAAACCUUAUUCGUGUAGGCAAUUUUCGAUGUCUCAAUUUGCUGUCGCAUUGAAACCACCUGUGUUUACUGGACUGCACUUUAAGAGGUGGCAGUAUAAAUGUCAUAUGUGGCUCGUGGCUAUGGGCGCAUGGUGGGGGUACAACACGGGAAGACUCAAACAAUUGCUUCUCAGCAGUUGUAUGUUGAGGCUUGUGUUGUAGUCGUCGGUGCGAUCUGUAGUGUGCUGGGAGAUAAGCUCGUUGAUGCUUAUCUGCACUAUCAGGAUGCCAAAGAGUUGUGGGAUGCGCUCGAUGCCAAGUUUGGUGCAUCUGACGCUGGCAGUGAGCUGUACGUCAUGGAGCAGUUCUUUGACUAUAAGAUGGUUGCAAACCGAUCUGUAGUGGAACAAGCUCAUGAGUUAUUGACUAUGGCUAAGGAACUUGAGCAAUUCAAGUGUCCACUACCCGACAAGUUUGUCGCCGGGGGCAUCAUCGCCAAGCUUCCUCCCUCGUGGAGGAACUUUGCUACUUCACUAAAACACAAGAGACAAGAAAUCUCUAUGGAGAAACUGAUUGGGACUCUUGAUCUUGAGGAGAAGGCGAGAGCAAAAGAUGCUGGCCCCAAAGGCAACACACAAGAGGGUACGUCCACUGCCAACAUGGUUCAGAGGAACAACGACAACAACAGUAACAACAAGGGAAAGGGAAAGGCAUUCAAUAAUGCUGGUCCAAAGAACACUACCACUUUCAACAAGAAGAAGAAAGGAGGCAACAAGGACAAGGAUCCUUGCUUUGUGUGUGGAGGACUUGGCCAUUGGGCGAGUAACUGCAAGGAGCGCAAAGGAGGACAGAUUCGGCAAAAGUUUGCUAAUUUGACCAUUGGCAACAAUGAAGAUGCAGGCAGGUAUGGUAAUUUAUUUACUAUAUUUUCUGUAUGUCAGUCCACCGAUUGGUGGGUCGAUACAGGCGCAACUAUUCAUGUGUGUGCUGAUAUUUCCUUAUUUUCUUCAUACCAGGCCAUCAGCUCCUCAGUGAUGAUGGGGAACGGCGCCCAUGCUUCUGUUCAUGGUGUUGUCACGGUGGAUCUGAAGUUUACUUCGGGAAAGAUCGUGCAGCUGAGGAACGUGCAGCAUGUGCCCUCCAUUCAGAAGAAUCUUGUUAGUGGAUCCCUCCUUUGCAAGGACGGAUUUAAGUUAGUGUUUGAGUCCAAUAAAGUUAUCGUGUCUAAGUAUGGACAAUUUAUUGGUAAAGGUUAUGAGUGCGGAGGUUUGUUCCGUUUAUCCCUUUCGGAUUUUUGUAAUAAGGUCGUGAACAGCGUCAAUUCUAUUAAUAAUGAGUCUAAUGUUUGGCAUUCACGACUUUGUCACAUUAAUUUUGGUUGCAUGACGCGAUUAGCAAAUUUGAGUUUAAUCCCUAAAAUCACUAUGGCUAAAAGUUCGAAGUGCCAAGCUUGUGUGCAAGCGAAGCAGCCUCGCAAGCCUCACAAGGCUGCUGAGCAAAGGAACCUAGCACCGUUAGAGCUUAUACAUUCUGAUCUUUGUGAGAUGAACGGUGUAUUAACCAAAGGUGGAAAACGUUACUUUAUGUCUUUCAUUGAUGAUGCGACUAGAUUCUGUUAUGUGUAUUUAUUAAAAUCAAAGGAUGAAGCAUUGCAUUAUUUUAAGAUCUAUAAAGCUGAAAUAGAGAAUCAACUUGAGAAGAAAAUUAAACGUUUGCGGUCUGACCGCGGUGGAGAAUAUUUCUCCAGUGAGUUUAAUUCAUUUUGUGAGGAACAUGGCAUAGUCCAUGAGAGGACGCCUCCCUAUUCACCCCAGUCAAACGGGGUUGCUGAGAGGAAAAACCGCACGCUGACUGACUUGGUCAACACCAUGUUAGACACUGCUGGUUUAUCCAAGGCAUGGUGGGGGGAGGCGCUAUUGACUUCGUGUCAUGUCCUAAAUCGUGUUCCUACAAAAGAUAAAGAAGUCACCCCAUACGAGCUAUGGGAAAAGAAGAGACUCACACUUUCUUACUUACGGACUUGGGGCUGUUUGGCGAAAGUCAAUGUGCCAAUCACCAAGAAACGUAAGCUUGGACCAAAAACGGUUGAUUGUGUCUUUCUUGGCUACGCAUUUCGAAGUGUCGGCUAUAGAUUCUUGGUUGUAAAUUCUGGAGUACCUGACAUGAGCGUCGGUACAAUUAUGGAGUCCAGGGAUGCUACAUUUUUUGAGGACAUAUUUCCCAUGAGAGAUAUGCAUAGCACAUCUAGAGAGGAUCAUGAUGUACCUGCUGAACCCGUCAGUUCAGAGGAACAUCAAGAUCAUGGUGUAGCUCCUGAACCCGCCAUCCCAGUGGAAAAUCUUGAACAAACACGCGAUGAGAUUCCUGAGGAGUAUGACAAUGAAGCCCCUCUUAGGGGUAAGCGACAAAGGAUUAUUAAAUCCUUUGGUGAUGAUUUCAUUGUGUACCUUGUAGAUGACACCCCUAAAACUAUUGAUGAGGCCUUUGCUUCUCCGGAUGCAGACUAUUGGAAGGAAGCUAUUCGUAGUGAAAUGGAUUAUAUCAUGGCUAAUGGUACGUGGGAGGUCGUUGACCGUCCGUACGGGUGCAAACCUGUAGGAUGCAAGUGGAUAUUUAAGAAAAAGCUUAGGCCUGAUGUUACUAUUGAGAAGUACAAGGCGCGACUUGUGGCCAAGGGUUUUACCCAGAAAGAAGAUGAAGAUUUCUUUGAUACUUACUCACCUGUAGUAUUACUAUCACUGGCUGCCUCAUAUGGUCUGAUCGUCCAUCAAAUGGACGUUAAGACAGCUUUCCUUAACGGAGAGUUGGACGAGGAAAUUUACAUGAACCAGCCAGAUGGAUUUGUAAUAAAGGGUCAUGAAGGCAAAGUGUGUAAGUUAUUAAAGUCUCUAUAUGGCCUGAAACAAGCUCCUAAGCAAUGGCAUGAGAAGUUUGACAAAAUUUUAACAUCUGCCGGCUUUGUUGUAAACGAAGCUGACAAAUGUGUAUAUUACCGCCAUGGUGGGGGUGAGGGAGUUAUACUUUGCUUGUAUGUCGAUGACAUACUAAUAUUUGGGACUAACCUCAAAGUGAUUGAAGAGGUUAAGACUUUCUUGUCGAAGUGCUUUGACAUGUAGCUGAUAUUACUCUGAACAUCAAGCUCGUGAGAGGCGACAAUGGUGAGAUCAUUUUGGUGCAAUCUCACUAUGUGAAGAAGAUCUUGAGUCGUUUCGGCUAUGCUGAUUGUAAACCUUCUCCAACUCCUUAUGAUCCAAGCGUUCUGCUUCGAAAGAAUAACAGAAUUGGAAGAGACCAACUGAGAUAUUCUCAGGUUAUUGGUUCACUCAUGUAUUUGGCUAGCGCAACUAGACCUGACAUCUCUUUUGCUGUGAGCAAACUGAGUCGGUUCAAUAAGAAUCCGGGAGAUGAUCAUUGGAGUGCACUCGAGAGGGUCAUGCGCUGUCUAAAGGGCACAAUGGGCUAUGGUAUACACUAUACUGGGUAUCCCAAGGUACUUGAGGGUUAUAGUGAUUCAAACUGGAUAUCUGAUGUUGACGAGCUAAAGGCCACGAGUGGAUAUGUGUUCACACUCGGAGGGGGCGCGGUUUCAUGGAAGUCUUGCAAAGCAAACGAUCUUAACCAGAUCAACAAUGGAAGCAGAACUUUCAGCAUUAGAUACAUCCACAGUUGAAGCCGACUGGCUUCGUGAGCUCUUGAUGGACUUGCCGAUUGUUGAAAAACCAAUACCGGCGAUUCUUAUGAACUGUGACAAUCAAACUGUGAUAGUCAAAGUGAACAGUUCUAAAGAUAACAUGAAGUCAUCAAGACACGUCAGGAGACGUCUGAAAUCUGUCAGAGCAAUGAGAAACUCCGGAAUAAUAGCAUUGGGAUAUAUCCCAACGGCUAAAAAUUUGGCAGAUCCCUUUACAAAGGGUCUAUCAAGGAAUGUGAUAGAAUCUGCAUCAAGGGAGAUGGGAUUGCGACCCACGUGAGUUACCAUGGCGGUAAACCAACCUAUGUGAUCAGGGAUCCCGUGAAUUAGGACCUGGGAAACAAGUCAUUGGAUAACUGAGGAGAGUGUACAUUCUUUAUCCCACUUCGUUGACGAUGCAUUACUCUCGUGUACUGUAUGGUAGGUUGUUUAACUUAAUGUGUUCUAACGCGUUGCAUUAAUUUGCAAGGGAGAUACUGUCCUACAGAGUAGUCUCUAAAUAACACACCUAUAUGAGCCUGACUGUUGGUCGCAGUCUAUGAGAUUUGGGUGGUCUCUAGUAAGCUCAUGAAAAGGCCUGGAGAAUGACUUACAUGCUCCACACCGCGGGGUAGCAUUCGGCAGCCCAGUACCAAACAACAAUUUAGUGAAGCUCUAACACAGAAAACCGACAAUUCGAGGUUUGUCCAUUGUUCAGUUGUGCGUGAGUGAAGCAAUUUGUUUAGGUGGAUGUUCAACCUUAACCGGUCUCCACUGAAACGCCGGUAUAUCAAAAACAGAGUCUUGGAUCAACGGCAAUUUUAUGUGCUUAUGAGAUAUUGUGGGGGAUUGUUGGAAUUUUGGGUUAGGCCCAAGGCCCAAUCUGAAAUUAAUUCCUGAAAAAUCUCAAAAGCCCAUUCAUGUAGUGGGAUGAGGAAGUGGGAAUAAUCCCACAUUGCUAGUUUAGGGGGAGUUGGACCAAUAUAUAAGGUAUGUUAGUUCUCACCUCUUGAGCAAGUGAGCAAGGGAAAUCCCUACGCGCGCUCCUCCUCCUCCUCCGCUCGCCUCGCCUCGCCUCGCCUCGUCACGACGCGCGCGCGCCACGUUUCGUGGAUCGAGUUCGAGCCGGGUCGUGCUUAUCUUUUUGGCAGUCGGAAUCCGUUGAUAAUUGCGGAGUCGGUUUUGGUUUCCUAAACCGAACCGAAGUCCAGGCAACUGCUGCUGCACAGGCGCAAGCGCAGGCACUGGCUGCUGCUCAGGAGUUAGUCAAGGCUGCUGCUGCUGCCGGCGUGAACAUCGACGCCACCGGACUCGUCACCGACCUCAACAAACAAACACAAGAAAAGAGCACAGCACCGUACGUAAUCUGCUCUUUCUUGUUGAUUUUGAUUAGUAGUUCUAUUAUUCAUGCCGUGAGAUUAGAUGAGUUUUAUUGCUGUGUGUUGCUAUUUAAUGUGUCUAGUUUGCAUGAUAUAACGUGCUACAUGUUUUACACACUGUCUUUCUGGAUUAAAUAUUCAUCGAAAUUACCUAAUUUUUCAACAUUCUCAGCUCCACGGUCCUGUACCCCAUCACUGACGCGCAUGGCUGGUCCUGCAUCACGAGGGUCUUCCCCGGGGGACACAAUCGCCCUCAGUCUCCAGGCCGACAUCAAAGUCGUCAUCGCUGACCGUAGCUUCAAUGAUGGCACCGCUGGCCGCUACCUGGUGGUGAUGGAGCUGGCAUUGGACCCUUUUUGAUGGACCUUGGCUGAGUUCUGCCUGCGGCCUUGUGCCCCCGCGUUCGAUGGGCCAAUGUUUUGGUCGCCAGAUAGGACCUGGUGGCAGAUCAGUCUCACCUAUGUGCGCAAUGUCUUCGACGAUGACGGCUGCGAUGACGAUGUGAUACAGGACUAUGAAGAGCUGACCGAUCUGGAUGUCGUGUGCACAAAUCUUUGUGCAGAGUACCCCGACCUGGAUGAUUGCUUCGUGGCGCACGUGUUCAGGUCCGUCGAUGAUUUGGAAAACGGGGAUGGCAUCGUUGUCAGGGUUAGCAUUGUCAUCAAGUAAUUCAUUAUAUGGUUGCUGCAGUAGAUCGAUGUAUGAACGUCAGUUGAUUUAGGAUGUCAAUCAAAUUCUCCAGACUUGCAGUAGUAGCAAGUGUGCAGGUUUGUUGGGUGUCACCAGGUUUUUGCCAUGUAGUCCAUGCACAUUGGGUUUCCUGGCAUGUGUUGUCGUGUAAUGACUUGUGGAAGUAGACCGACAUAAGAGCAAUGGUUGUAGAUUAUGUUUAUUUGAUUUUCAAAAUAUAUACCAUGUUGAUUUAUGUAAAUCUGUUUGGAUUUUGUUUGCCAUGCGGUGUGAUGUCUCUAGUUCUCGGAUUCUUUGCUUGUGUUAGUCCAUCAUCAUGCAUGAUUUGAAUUGUUUUUUAUAUUUUCAACUGACAUAUACUUUUUUAUGUUAUCUAAUACUUUUUUACAUUGUCAAAAAAAUACAUGUUACUAUAUUGUGAGUUGUUGCACCCAUUUCAAUGAUUUCUUUUCAGACACCUUCAUGAGGACACCCUAAUCAAGAUGUUAAUUACAUUUCCAUACAUAUCCAUGAGGACCCUAAUAAAAAAUGUUAAUAACAUUUCCAUACACAUCCAUGAGGACCUUAAUCAGGAAUGUUAAUAACAUUUCCAUGCACAUCCAUCAGGACCCUAAUCAAGAAUGUUAAUAACAUUUCCAUAAACAUCCUUGAGGACCCUAAUAAGGAAUUCUAAUAACAUUUCCCAUGUUUCAUGCAUGGGACAUGUUUUGAUAUCAAGCCAUCUAGUCUAACUACUGAGUGCAAGCCUACGCAUGCGAUUUUAUUUGGGUAGUAUCGCCAAAUCUCACCGCCCAUGUACACAACGAUGGAUUCACCUCAUGCUAGAAGAGUCAGUGUGGUAAGACCACACAGCUUACAUAGCUUCUCUGCACACAUGUUUAAUUGGGCAUGUGAUGAAUGUGUCACUCAUAUCUGAUGGGGAUCAAUAGUGCUACUGCACACUUCUGUUGUCAAGUGGAACAAGCAUUUUUUUUAACGAUUUGUUCAUGUUUCAUGGAAUGCACAUUUAUUAAUUAUGUUAAUUACAUCUAAUGCAAGAAAUCACAGUAAACGGGUAAGGCAUUGGUUGGAGCGAGGCAGCCAUGAUAAAUGAAUGUUAAUCACAUUAAAUGCAAUCAUUCGCUAUAAAUUAAUCAUGCAUUUGUGGGAGUCAUCCACCACCUAUGGACUAACUAAUGUACUACCACAGAACCAACUAGUCCAAAUCAAAAAGCAAAGACGAAUGGUGGAUGUGAGAGUGGUAUAGCACACUGGUGGUAGAGAGACAUAUUGUCCUAAAAAGGUGAUUGCAUUGAAUGUGAUUAACAUUCAUUCAAAGCAGAUGCCUCCAACUAAGUAAUGUCUCACACAUUCACUGUUAUUGCUUUCUUUAAAUGUGAUUAACAUAAGAGUAAAGUCCAUUUUAAACCCUGUGCUUGUAGAGGUGGACCCAAUCGAACCCUGACCUGCAAAUCCCUGAACUUAGCGCCCUGAACUCUCAAAUCCCGGUCAUUAGUGCCCUUAAGUAGGAUUAGCCUCGGGAUUGCUGACGUGGCAGGGUCUAAGCUGGGAUUGUUUAGGCCACGCUGGAUAAGAAGGUUUACCACUUCGAAAUAAGAAACUAACAGUUUGCAAUUUGGGAAAAAAAACUAGGGUUCGCGUCCCGUAGUCGGCGACGGCAGCAGUGGAGAUGUCAUCUGGGUCUGUGUCGAGCGGUGGUCGUCGAUGGCGGAGAGGCACCGUGGGAGAUAGGCGUUCACCGAUGCCGUAUCGUGAAGAUCCGAUGGAGUAUGAGCCAAUGAAGUACUGCCGGCGUGAAGGCGCCGAGGUGAAUUUCAUGAAGUCCGCGAAAUUCUGGAAGAAGGUAUUAUGCCUGUGUGGAUGCGUUGUUAAGUUCAACUUCCAGUUAAUUUCUCUCGUUGGUAUCAAUUAAGAUCGAGUCUCUCUUUUGUCUUUUUUGUUCUGGAGUGUUCAUUUUGAACAGUUCGGUGGCUGUGGGAGCAUGGAUCCUUGUUUGGCAAACCAUUUAAGGACGGGAAUGACCGGGAUUAGAAAGUUCAGGGUGCUAAGUUCAGAUAUUUGUAGGUCAGGAUUCGAUUGGGUCCACCUCUACAAGCACAGGGUUUAAAAUGGACUUUACUCUUAACAUAACUAAUAAACGUGCACUCCAUUAAUCACAAAAAGAUGGUUAAAGAAAGUUUGCCCCACGUGACAGCAUGGCAAGCCGGGAGAAUCAACAGCUUUCCUAGAAGGAUUAGUAGGUAUAGGCAAUAACGUGUCUUCACUCUAAAAGUAAUGCAAUAUCUUUUAUUUCUGAAGUUUUGGUACUUUGUUAAUUAGCUGUAAUUUGGUCCGUGGGUGGAGUUCUGGUUCUGCUGGGCGUUGUCCUGGCAGUCUGAGAACAUUUAGACAACUUUGAACUGUGUUGAUUUCAUUAAUGAAAUCGGGAGGUCGCUCCUUUUCUCUAAAAAAAAUCUUUUUGCAAGGAAAAAAGAACUGCAAUAAUGAUGAGGAAUCACCUGAUAGAAAACAUCUCACCUAUAAUUCUUUCACGGUGGGCAAGCCUGAUCUAUAUCAUUAAUUUGGCAUAAGACUUCUCUUCAUAAUAUCUUUUCAACUUAUGCUGACCUGAAACGAAAUAGCAGCUAGAAAAAGAAAUGAAGUACUAUAGCUCCUAGCUCAAUAACAUGUGACUGCAGUAACCGUAACAUGAUUCGAACUGUCUGCUAAGGAUGGGGAGGGAAAGGAAAUAAAGUUGAAGCACAAGUAGAAAUCGGCAAUAAGAGAGUUCUCCCCACCGAUGACGUACGGAGGGUCGCACAGACCGUGCUCGCCGGCAGAGGCUAAGCAAAAACAGAAUGACGACGUGAGGGCUAUGGCUGCUUGUAGUCUGAGCUCUCGCAGAUGCCCUUGUCAUAGACCCUGUGUAGCAUACGGAGAGAAAAAGGAAGAGGCGGAGAAUGAUAGAUAGGCCAUCGCAGGGCAGGGGAGAGGGAAGACGUCAGCCGUCUCUGGAUCGAGCGACGGCCACGACAGUUGCUUUUUUUUUUUUUUUAGGGGAGCACGGCAGUUGCUUGGGGAGGGCAGACGGCGCGAGGCGAUCAGGAUCAGGAUCGAGGCGUUGUUUUUAUGCCUGCAUAGGUGGGCUGUGAACUUGGCCCAACUACGGGCGCUGGAGAAGCCCAUCUAGUGGGAUUUUCUGCUGCAUAGGUGGGCUGGCCGCUGGUGAAGCCCAUCUUGCGAAGGGUCCGACGGUACCAAUCGCGGGAACAACUCGUUGGUGGGAAAAACGAUGGCAUGGCAGGAGGAGGAGGCAGAAAAAAUUAGAUAUAGGAGAUUCGCAUUCUAAAAUAUUUGUACAUUCGUCGUAUCACUGUAUGGCUGUGCAUGGGUGUCGCCGUGUCCGUACAACUUAGCAAUGUAAAAUCUGAUUUUGAAAUCUGCAGCUGUAAAAUGUAGCAGUUCUGCCACAAAGCCAUGAAUAGUCAGCGGCGGACCCCGGAAGAUUGACUUGUGAAUUGUGGCGCCUCGACCGGAUUGCUCAAAGCAUCAACAAAAUCUAGGUGAACUCCGCAUGUGGAGUUGGAUCGAUAAGAUGAAAAAACUCCGGAGCAUCAGGUCAAGACAAGGCGCACAAUGCUAGAAAACGGUUCGGCCCUUAGGUCAGGCUCCCACGCGAUCUAAUCCCCAGGCGGUGGCGGCUGCAUGGCUUCUCCCUCCGCCGGCGCCGGCAGUCUGCCCAGCCUCCGAUGGCUUCUCUGGCCACGGAGGUGCGACAGAUCCCGGCCGUUCGCUGGCGGAAGGACCUCUCGUUUUUUGUUUUAGGUUCUUUUAGUGUCUUCUUCAAGAUGUCGUGGCGGCGGCGACGUCUUGCAACUGGAAUAAGGCCCUCCCCACCCUAUCUUCGCUCCGGCGGUGCGCCUGGCGCCGGCGGAGGGCGGGUGGAGCUGUGUGUCCUGCGAAUCCCUUGGGAUCCGGCCGCUUUUCGGGUUUCCGGCGAAUCCCUUGGGUUUCGAUCGGCUUUCGUGUUUGUUCGUGUGGCUUCAGAUCUACAUCUUCCGAUCUAUGGUUCUUAUCUUUGGUGAUGGUUGCUUCUCAGAGGCGCUGGUUCUUCGAGGCCUUAGCACGACAACUACCCCAGCAUCUACUACCAUAAGCUCUCUUUUGGCAAGUUUUGCCCGGCUCCGCUGAUGGAGGGGCAAUGACGGUGGCCCGCUUUCGGCUCGUUCUAGUGCUUGCUACCGUCGCUAGUAGUCUAAAUACCUAUUUAUAAUUUUUUUAUUACUUUUGGGAUUCUUUGUACUGCCGUUGGUGAUUAUUAAUAGUUCGGGGAUCCUCACCGCGAAAAAAAAAAGGCGCACAUUUCUACCAAAAUGACACCAAAACUCGUACGUGUAUAGUGCAGAGCCUGUUGAGCCCUGAUUUGCUCAUUGCAGAUACUCCUCUCUUGGUCUAGCUCUUUAUGUAACAGUGUAAUGUCGUGAGAAAAUAAUAUUAUGAUGCUCGAUCGAUUGAAUCUCUCUCCCUGGAAAAGAAAGAAAACCUUAUCUCCUCGCUCGAUCUAGUCCCGUCUCGUUCUCCAGCAGCUUGAUUAAUUUACUAUAUCCAUCCCCGUCGGUGGAAUUAAGUAUACAGUAGUAUAUAUGUUGCUUGUUUGACCAAACUAACUAACUUCAUUGCAUGUGCACCCACGAAAGACGAAGAACACGUAGUACUACACGGUAGUAUCACCCAACCUACCUCCUCAUAAUCUCAUUCUAUAAAUACCUCGCUACAUCGACCAAUGCGUUACACAACACCAGGCGCUGGGUAACUAAUUAAGGUCAGCUGAUUCGAUUACUUCAAUCGAACGAGAUGAGCUCCUUCUCCUCCGUCGACGGUGUGGCCUGCGGCGGCGGGAAGAAGACGUCGUGGCCGGAGGUGGUCGGGCUGUCCGUCGAGGAGGCCAAGAAGGCGAUCCUCAAGGACAAGCCUGAUGCAGACAUCAUCGUCCUGCCCGUCGGCACGCCGGUGACCGCGGACUUCAGGCCCAACCGCGUUCGCAUCUUCAUCGACACCGUCGCCGAGAUCCCCCGUGUGGGCUAGCUAGCAAGCUAGCUAUAGCUUGAGUAAUAAUAAAGUAAUAAUGGAGGACUAAAUGCGUCGUGUUAUAUGUUCAUCCCAUGUGUUUGAUCAGUUAAUAUAAGCAUGUGUACGUGUGUUUGAAAUUCUGUCCAUGGCACAUCGGGACCGGGAGAAUAAACAUGCGGCUCCACCAGAGUCACUUUGUUUGCGAUCUCGUCUCGCCUAUGUGUAAUAACUUCCGUGCCAUUAAUAGCACUAGCUAAGCGUCCGUGCGUUGCAACGGAUAGACUACAUCUUAGUUUUUUCAUGUUUGUUAUUCUUCUUUGCAAAGUUAUGAGACAUGAGAUUUGCCAUCAUAUUUGUGGGCGAGUUUGUACGAGCGCCGAAUUGAUUGUUCUGGCGUGUUUUCUUUUUCUGAUCGGCAGAAUUGAGAAAGUGUUAUUUGUUUUGGACGAAUGAAAAUAAUCUGAAAAUGCAGUUUCCUUUUUCUGGACGAGUUUCCUCUUUCUGAGCGGUAACAAUAAUCUGGGAUGCAGUUUCCUUUUUCUGCUCUCGGUGGCAGAAGGGAACCAUUUUUUUACACUGAUUUUUUUCGCUCCAGGUUGGGACGACGUACGAGGGACGGACGCCAACUGCAAAUCAAGGAACAGUAAAGAUAAAGACUAUUACGGGUAUGUUUCACCGAGCACCGGCGAAACGUACAUAUAUCUUUACACUUGAAAACUACCGUUUGGAUACAGUGGUUUCAGAGAUGGGUUGUACUAGUUCUUGGUUCUUCAGAAGCCGAUGCCAUGCCCCGUCACGCCGGAGUUGCUGAGCGUGGAGGAUCUGACGCUGGAGACCAAGCCAGGUGCCCUCGCUCCGUCAGGUCGUAGUUGAUGUCGUCUCCUUACCUCUGGAGCCACCGAGCAUAGAGAAGAGAACAAGGUCGCCUGGCCCUCGCCGCCGUCGAGGUUGCACGGCAGCCUGGACGCCCGGCCGAGCUUCUGGGCUCGUGCUCGGCUCGCCUGGGCUCGACCUCAGCCCGGUAUAUCAAAAGCCAGAGCCGAGUUUGCUUUUUGGGCUCGUUUCUAUUUUCCUGCCGAGCCAGGAAGGAUCGGUUCGGGCUGCUCGGCGAGCCCAAAGCCUAGAAGAUUUUCAGCUCAGCCCAUCGACUCCCGCAGCCCACAGGCGGCCACAGCCCAUGGCGUGAGGACUCCGACUUACGUCUGUGGGCUGCGGGAGUCGGUGGGCUGCGGGAGUCGGUGGGCUGGGCUGAAAAUCGAGACUUGUGGGCAGUACUAGUUUUACGCAUACAAUACGUCGAAGCCAAGGAUGCAAUUUCUUUUCCAAUCGCACGAUGAGGUGAAAGCCCGAGUCUUUUCUGGCCGUGCGUGGACUUCGGUCGGCCCAGGUCAAGCGCGGCGCCCUAUAACAUGUGACAAGCGCUGUUCCCAGGACAGACCUAUUUUGGUUGCAUCGAUCUAGCACCACCACACGUCGCCGAUCGAUCGACAUUACCGCCGCCGUUCGCCACGAGCCACGGUUGCUACUGCCGCGCCGUCGUUGUAGUGGUACGGUGCUAGUGCUUUUUCUUCUGAAUUACUCUUCCAAUACAAUGCUUGUCUCGUGCUUGCGGGUGCUCGUGCACUAUAUGGGUGGCCAAGGCGCACACCCAUAAAUGGCAAGUCAUAUCCCUCUUACCUAAAAUAGAAAAGUGUCGGUCCCCGGGUACUCCCUCGCGCUUCCCCCUUAUUCUCCGCGCGUCAAAUAUCUGGCUGUCAUGUCAGGCUGCCAAAAGAACUUGCCCUUUAUCCAAGCAAAAAGAAACAACUCUGCGGACCUCUGCUUGCUUUUUCGUUCUCAUCCCCUCCACGAUCCCAUCUUCUCCUCUGUCAUCCCAAGUGACUUUCUGGACACCAUGAUUUACUACUUCGUAGCAAUCAAAGUUGCUUAAGGGAUUGCUAGCGAGCAAAAGGUCCUCAAACCACCCUGAUUUUGUUGGUAUUUCAGCAUAGCACUUCUCUAGUCAGUACAAGUACAUGAAGAUAAAACCACUUUUGCUGAUAAAAAUGGCCUGAGGCUUUGUAAAAAUCACAGACACAGAGAUCCAUGCACCACAAAUUUGCUUAUCUACCCAGUAGAUAAAACCUAAUCAAAGUUGCUUCUAAACUGGUAGAAAUCACAGGGACAGAGAUCCGUGCCCCCACAAAACUGUUUAUCUAACAACAGUCAAAUAAAUAAAAAAGAGAAACACCCAGUAGAUCCAUCUCGUAGUCAUAGUUGCUGGAGAGAAAACUGUGGCAAGAUAAAGUGUAAAGAGUUGUAGCACGCUGCUAUAACCCCGUGUUGGACACCUGUUAGCUACAGAAAACACAAAAAAGCAAAAAAAAAAAAGUUAGGUGCACUAUAUUGCAAAGGUGUAAGGUGUAUAUUGCAAAAGGUGCACUAUACGGAAAACACAGAAAAGAAAAGCAAAAAAAGCACUUAGGUGUGCUCGGCGUUUCCGAUAUUACAAGUAUGUUGCCCAAAAACAGAAAAGAGAAAACAGAUGCACUGUAGCCGUAUGAUUACUUAGGUGACUCUUUAUCCUCACUGCUGCUUUGUUCUUUGCGAGAAAAGACCACUAAACAGUAAACACACAUAAUUCUUUUGUUCCCUAAUAUCAACAUUUGAUCUUGUCAUAGUCAAACCUUAUGUUUUGUUGCUUCUUGUUACUUCUUUGACCUUGGUACUUCCAUGUCUAAAAAAAGCAAGCUUCCUGAGGAAAUAGAAUCCGGCAAACAUGCUUUACUUAAAGGCAAGAAAGCUCCAAAAAAGGAAGGAGAAGAGAAACGAUUAAACAGACAAAUUAUUCUCCUUAUGAAUGCAACUUGAAAUUCAAAAAAUAAGCGAGGAGGCAACUUUUACUCCAGAAAAGUUGGGCUAUGAAAAAACAACUUAGUGUCAACUAUAACCUGAUAUUAUGCUUCUUAGAAUAAGCAAAUUCUAAGUCAACAUGUAAGCUAGGGAAGCAACUUUUAUUCUAGAAAAGUUUAGUGAAGUAAAAAAGCAAAACUUAGUGUCACCUAUAAACUGAAAUUAUGCUUCUUAGCAAUGCGGCUCCUAAAUCAAUAUUUAAGCUGAGAAGCAACUUUUACUCCAGAAAAGUUUUGUCAAGUAAAUACAGCUUAGUGUUAUAAACUAAAAUUAUGCUUCUUAGGAAUGCAACUGUCAAGUCAAAAUUUAAGCUUACAAGCAAAUUUUAUUCUAGACAAGUUUGGUGAAGUAAAAAGCAACUUAGUUGGCAACAUAAACUGAAAUUAUACUUCUUAGGAAUGUAACUUCUAAGUCAAAAUUUAAACUGAGAAGCAAAAUUUACACCUCAAAAGUUAAUGCUUUCUUAGGGAUGCAAUUCUAAACGCAAAUUAAUGCUUUCUUAGUGAUGCCAUUCUAAAGUCAAAAUUAAGCUAGGAAGCGACUUGUGUCCGAGAAAGUUUGUUGUAACAGCUUAGCACCCACCAGAGCUGUAAUUAUGCUGAUUAGGAUGCACCUACUAAACUCAAAAUUAAGCCAGGGGAGCAACUUUCACUCCGAGAAAACUUGGGUGACGUAAAAGCAACUUAGUAUCGCCAGAACUGAAAUUAUGAUGAUUAGGAUGCAACUUGAAAACUCAAAUUUAAGCUACCAAGAACUCAAGUGUCAGCAUUUAGGAAUAAACCUCAAAUGAACACAAUGAAUUGCAAGCUAACUCUUGAGCCCCAAAAAUUGCUUGUGUCAUCAGAUUAAAUCUGAUCUGCAAGAGGCUUUGCCUAGUAUGCAUUUGCAGGCUCUCACUCAAUAAAAAUCACAAAGUAAAUCCGAUGAGUUUAGCUCUUAGCCCCUAUCUGCUAGGGGAGAAAACCGAUAUAAAAUUGCAUAAAAAUUAGCUUAGAUUGGGGCGGUUUUGGGAAGUAUGUGAGAGGAUCUAACCUUGAUAACCCAACGGAACAGUAUACGUGGCCUGCCGUGCUCAAUGUGCUCGCCAUCCUCAAUGCCCCCUGUAUUAAAACGAGGGACCUAUAGGGCCUAUAUAGGACAUAGAAUGGUCGAGUAUAUUGAAAAGCCAGUGCAAGCAUGGGUUGAGUCCAAUUUUUUUAUUUUAGGCAGGGGAGUCACCUCUUGUCUUGUGCCUCUAGGACGCCUACACUGAUCCCAGUAUUCUCGGGCACCUACAAACAAAUAGAUAGUGCAAACACAAAUUAACAAAAAUGAUUAGCUAGGGGCUUUGUAAAAAAGCAACUUGAGCGUGCGCAGGGGGAGCAAAAACACCAAACCCGCAACAAGUUGUUGACCCCUGAAACGACUACUCCUGCAUUUUCAGCUAGCAGAAUUUGGCCCCCCUGUGAUUUUCAUCUUCCUCGUUGAGGAAUUAAAUCUGCAGAUUUAUCUUCUUCAAGGGCUCCCCCAGGUGCUUCGUCUUCGUUUGGAUUCAUGAUAUCAGCUGCAGAAAACACACUGGUAACCAAGCAACAAAAGCCCUUAUAGAACAUAUAACAUCAACAAAAACUACAAGCAAACAAAAUAUUCUGCUAACACACACAUUAGCUCUCCAUACAAUCUUUUUUUUUUGCCGAGGUCAAAUAGCAGGAGAGCUUCCUACUGUAUUAAAUAAACUCAAAAAGGGCUACAAGGUUACAUACAAAUUUAUAUGCCGGAGCAAAGAAAAGAAAGGGGGAAAACCCCAAAAGCUAGAGCAAGGAAACUAUCAGAGACAACUUGCGUUUAAAAGUCUCCUCGGAGGUUCUAUAAAACAGCGAUUCUAAAUCAGCUUUGAGCCUUGCAUGCCAAGAUGGAAUGGAAGUUGUAGUGUCGUAAAAAAUCUUGGCGUUGAGUUCUUUCCAAAUAGCCCAAGCCGUGAGGGUAAAAAAUUUCCCAAUAUAUUCCUCUGUUCCACACAGCGUUCGCCUCUCAGCAGCAGCAGGUGCAUGUCCCAGGAGAUGCCCAAUUCAGCCCAGCAGCUCUGACUAAAUGGGCAAGCAAAGGGGACAGGCAAAGCACACAAUUCCAGUCAGUGGGAAGAGCGAAAUGCUUGCGCCUGAGCAUGUUGCUUGCAGUGAGUCUAUCAAUAGCAAGCAACCAAACUCUCUAUACAAUCUACACAGGCUAUAGGCUCUGCCAUCUUAAAAAACCUUGCAGGCUCUGUACCAUCUCCAAUAUGAACUGUGUUAGCUCAUAUUGGACCAAAAAAGCUUGCAUGUGUUUGCCAGGCAAAUUUCUGAAGCAAAAACAACAUCUAGGCUGGGCAAACACAUCUGAAAAAAAUGGGCGCGUGACAUUAGCUCUAUAACAUCUACAGAACUAUACAGGCUCCAUAACAUCUACAAUCCCUUGUAGGCGCUAACCCAUCUACAAUGAACUAAGUUACCUCAUACGGAGUAUUGCACACCAAAAACUUGCCUAAGUUUUGGAGGAAAAAUUCUGAAGAAAACAACAUGAAACAACAUCUAGGUUAGGCAACACAUCCUGUGUCCUACACACUGAAAAUGCACGCAUGAAUUUGCCCCCCAAAGCAAACUACUCCGAGGGAAUCGAAAUCCCCAGCAGCCUAAAAAAUCGCGAACGCUUAUAUCCAACCCAACAACUGCAAAACAAGCACAAACCCUGCGGGAUUUAGACGGGAAAAUUACUUAGGUAAAAAUGCUCGAUUAAUCUCCCAGCGCUGCUCGAUCCGUCUAGUCGAGCACGAUGCGAUGCUCGAGCCCCCAAUCUCUUCUCAAACACAAAACAGUACGCGCCCCUGACCUACCCCCGCAACAUGCAGUUCCACCUUCCGACCAACCCAAACCUUCGAACUCACCGGAGUGCUCCCUUCGUCGCCGUGGAGAAAAACGCCGCCAGCCGCGCCGCCCCUCGUGUGGUACCCCGCGACGCGCGCCUCACACGCGCAGCUCCGAGUUCAGGGCCGCUCGCCGCCGAACAAGACCGCCGGCCCGAAAUCGCCACUGGAAGCGCCGGCGGGGAGGAGAAAAAUGAAGACGGGAAAAGAGGGUGGGGACCGUGGGGGAAAGGGAGGAAGCUGAGCAGCGCCUCCAAAGAAGACGCCAGCAGCUGGGCCCCACUUGAAAACAUGCUUCAAGUCUUGUCCGAGAAGCGGCGCGCCGGUAAGGAAUCGAUCGUGCGGUCGGCUUCGCAUUGGACGGCCCUGAAGCGUGUGCGCCUGAAGACGGCAGAAAGUGCAUAGUCACUUUUAAGCAUUUUUCUUUUGCCUAACUUACUGAGCACCGGCUGGGUUUUUUCUCUCUCAAAAUUUUGUUAUGGCUGGACGAUUCUGACUUGACAUAUAUAGACUGAAUCCUAAGCCUCUAUGUCCCCUGUGCAGAGCAGGUAUGGCUGCGCCGUCAAAGCGCAAUGCGCUGGUGAACGUGACAGUCGAGGACACCGACGCCCUCGAUUGCGGCGUCUGCUGGCUCCCUCUCAAGCCGCCCAUCUUCCAGGUACCAAACUUCUUUGUCCCUCGAUCGAUCUCAUGUUAAUUUGCUUGCGUACAUCUAGCUCUGCCGAUACACCGUAACAAAUCGUGCAUACAUUGAUGCAUCUCGAUCUCGAUCUCAUACAUGUUUGCUUGCAGUGUCAAGUCGGCCACGUGUUCUGCCUGCCGUGCCGCGACAAGCUGGUCCAGACGUCGGCGCGAUGCCCCGUGUGCGGCGGCGAGAUCGUCGACGACGACGGGGCCUACCGGCGGAACCACGGCCUGGAGAAGCUGCUGGCGUCCAUCCGCGUGCCAUGCCCCAACGCCGCCCGGGGCUGCUCCGCAAAGCCAGCCUACUACGACCGGCAAGCCCAUGUCAAGACAUGCCCCUGCCGGCCAUGCCACUGCCCGGCAACAGCCUGCUGCUUCGCCGGCUCCAAGGCGAAGCUCCUGCAGCACUUCCCCUCCGUGCACAGGUGGCCCUUAACCAAGCUCACGCAUCGGCGCUGGCAGGUGAUCCAGCUCCGCCACGGCUUCAACGUCCUGGACGUCGGCGACUCCUACGAUGCCGCCAAGCGCCUUAUCUGCCUGCUGCUGGUGGUGUCCAGCGGGCGGCGUCUUGGAUGCGCCAUCUACCCUGUGUGCCUGGACGCUGGCGGAGGCGGCAUUGAUGGAUGCGACCUCGAGCUCGACGUCUCGCGGCACAACGACGAAACCGAUAGUGGCGACUGCCCGGCCUAGAGGACCGCUUCCAGUUCGUCAUGCCUAAGUCUAUUCGGCCGGACAUGGAGGGGACUAUCAAGGUUUCGGCAUAUGUUAGUUUUGUGUGCCCGGUCUCCUAUAGUUUUUGUCGAUAUUCGAUGGUGUGAAAAGCGGCUCAUUCGGUUUAAAGGAAAACAAAACACAGUAAAAGUGGAAAGGGAAUGACUAGGCUAUGUUGACUGUGUGAUUAACAAAUUCUUAGUCGAUCUUGUCUCUACUAAGCACAUUACCCUCUAUUCUGGUCCAGUAUUACACAUGUAAGUUCAGUAAUGAUUUUUGAUAGCUUUUUUUUAGCAAAUGAUUUUUGAUAUCGGAAAGCAUAUACGCACAUAAACUUUCACGUGCAAUUUUUAUAUUGCACCUAAACUUUCACUUGCUAUUUUUAAAGUUGCACCUAAACUUUCACGUGCUAUUUUUUAAAUUAGGGGCAUAACUCUUAAAAUUACAUUUGCACCGUUGAUGCAACUAAGAAAAUUACAAUGCAACUGAAUAAACAUCAGUUAAUACGCUAGGGUUGCACAAAUAAUAUGUGAAAAUUUGUGUUUGAUGAUAAAAAAAAACAAUAGAAACAAAAAAAGAUAAAGCGAAGAAAGAAAAAGAAAAAUACUUACAUAAAAUUGGCGUGAUGAAGAAUCGAACAGCAAACCUCAAUCAAGACCUCCAAUAGAUGACCACCAGACCAGCAAGAUGAUUCUAAUUAGUUGUGAACGUUGCCUUAUUUAUUUUGCUCAAACUAUCAGUUUUCUCCUUAUUGCACAAAUCUUGAUGCCUGACCCAACGUCCCACAUGCGUCGACCGAGAAAAACUAUUUCUCAGGCGACUGCUCGCUAGCAGAUUCUAAGUGGAAAACAUAGGAUUGUGUACUUGCCAUCCUAAGGAAUGGUUUUUGCUUCAUUCGUUUGGAAAAAAGAGGUUGGAUCUUAUGUUCAUUUUCUUUCAAAAACAUAGGAAAAGUACCAAAAAUCAGCCAGCGGAAAAGAUAAGUGCCCGUAAAAAAUAAGUGCUUGAUCGUCACAUCUAGGCUCGCUGGUAAUUAAUUUGCUCAUCUUGAACUCUUUUUUAGGCCCAACUUGAACUCGAUUGAACACACAAAUCUCAGAGAUACAAGAAAACACAGGAGGGCUGAUCCUUCCGUUCCUUUUUCGGUUCAGGUAGCUCCUAGCUAGGGACAGUGGCGGAUCUAGGUUUUUGAGACAAGGUGAUUCAAUGUAUAAACUUUUAUCCCAAUAUAAAUUAUAACCAGCAAUUUUUUUACCUCAAACAUACCAAUAGUAUUGAAUUUGGGAAGAGAAAACCCCGGCAUUGGAACAAUUUUGCGAUAAUUUCAAUUCGAUCAAUGUGCAAAUCUUAAUUCGAUUCAAUGAAAGACCGAGGAAAAUGUCGCCGUCUCCGUGUAAGCUGCUGCCCCGUCGCAUGCUCGCGUUGAUGAAUCGUAUGUUUGCCGUCCGCUGGCAGUAAGCGAUGAUGAUGACGAGAAAUAUGAUGCGAUGUUAGCUGCUCAUGCUCGUCUGCUCGGCAAAAAUACGAUACGAUGCCAACUGCUCGUGAUCGAUCGCUAGACUGCUACAAGGUCCGAUCUGAUGUGGUGAUGCGUACACUACACAACAGAAAGAAGACGAGAACUGGCCGGAAAGAUGGACUAUUUGCUCGGAAUGAUUUUUCAUGUUUGGUGGAUUUAAGAUACACUAAUGUAUAUGUAUACGGGCUGUAUGGACCACCUGGCCACCCUAUGUAUCGGCCGGUCGCUAGGGAGCACCGUUCUGUUUUCUUUUUCUUUGUUUUGAACUGCCAGAGAUAGCCCGGGUUUAAUUUGUUGUCCUUCAUACGCAGCGGUUAAAUUUGGAGAGAAAAAAAUUCAGGUAGAUAGCCUCCGUUAAAAAUAAAAAGGAAAUAAAAACAGGUAGCUAGAUAACGAGGCAGGAGGCAAAAACCGAAUCGGACCCAACGUAAACACACGUACGUGGCAAGACGGAAACUAAUCAAACUCGCCGCUCCAAGACUUUGGCUCUAUGUACACUCGUAUAUAUUUCCCGCAAGGGAACCAAGAUACGAUACGAUGGCGCCCCCGGCGUCGAAACGGCAGGCCCUGGCCAACGUGAGGGUGGAGGACGCCCGCGGCCUGGAAUGCGGCGUCUGCUGGCUCCCGCUGAGGCCGCCCAUCUUCCAGUGCGCCGUGGGGCACGUGCUCUUCCGGCCGUGCCGCGACAAGCUGGCCGCCGCAUCCGCAUCAUCCAACAAGUGCCACGUGUGCCGCGCCCCGACAACCGGCGACAACAACAACGGCGGCGGCUACCGCCGUUGCCACGACAUGGAGACCCUGAUAGAGUCCAUCAUCUGCGUCCCAUGCCCCAACACGCUGCGACGCCACGCCGGCCACGUCUCUAUCUUUUUUUCUCGAAAAUGAAAAUUUGUAUUGAUCUCAAAUUAUAUGGAGCGAUACAACCAAAGAAUAUCCUGACAAUCUAAGAAGGAGACGUGCCCAGCGUUGUCUUAGCGUGCGGCGCGCUCCGAGAUUUGUGCAACGACAUCGAGAAGAGCACAGUACGCCCGAAUAUUCUCAUCCCGAUCUCCUCCCCCGAUCCUCCUCUCUCCUCCUCCCCCGAUCUCAUCCUCCCGAUUGCUCUUGUCGGCGGCGUGUGGCUCGCGGAGCGGCGGCCGCAAAGGGCAGCGGCGUGCGGGGUGGCCUAGGAAGAGCUGCGGCGGCGUGGGGUGGGCGGGCGGCGCGCGGGGCGGCGGCCGCGAGCUCCGACGCUACCUCUCCCCCGCGCCCUCUGUCUAUUUUCCUCCCCAUCCCAUCUCACGGAGGAGCAGCAGCAUAGGCCGGGGCCGGAGCAGGGAGGUCGCGGUGGCGGAGCAGCGCACGCAGCGGCGGCAGCGAGCCCCGUGGGCCGUGUUCGGGGCAGGGAGGUUAGGGGACGGAGCAGCGGCCGCAGUGGCGGCAAAGCCCCUCGGGCCGAGGCCGGAGCAGGGCACGGCGAUGCGUCGCCGCGGGCGCCCGUGGCGGCGGUGAAGAAAACCCAUGGCGGGGCAGAUCCUGCGCAUGAGCGGGCGCUGUGGCGCAGGAGGAUGGAGGCGGAGUAGCGACGGGCCGCGGCGUCGCACAAAGCAUGCGUGACGGCGGAGCGGGAGGCAAGCGCGGCGGCGGCAGCGCGUGAAGUCCGGCCUGACGCCCCACUGCCACCCUCCUUCAUCCCGAGCAGGUCCACUACGACACUACAUGCACGGCCUUCCCCUGCAGCUCCUCGACCUGCUGGCUGCCGCCAACUCGGCCCAUACGCUAAUGGCUGCACCGCCGUCGGCGACCAGUGCGAGCGUCGCGUUUAGGGGCUGUUUGGUUUAGCGCCUUUGCCUGUCGUUUGGUUUAGCGCCAGCAUUUUGGCGAGCAGCGAAUUCGUUCGCCUAGGAUCUGGCGAGCCGUUGAUUUGGCAUGGUGGCGCGGCCUCGGCCGGCGCGUACAUCUCGCGGCGUGCUCACCCUCAACCGGCCAGCUCCUAGAUGCAAAAUAAGCUGGCGACCAAGCGAUAACCUGGUAAUCAAGUGGCAUUAACCUGAUAAAUAAGUGACUAUAACUCGGUAAAACGGUGACAAUAAUUCGGUAAAACGGUGACGAUAACCUGAUAACCAAGUGAUAUUUUAAGUUGGUAAAACAGUGACAAUAACCUGGUGACAAAGUGAUCUUAACCCGGUAAACAAGUGAUUUUUAACAUGGUAACCAAGUGAUUUUUUAAACUUGGCCAACAAGUGAACAUAACCUGAUAAACAAGUGAUAUUAACAUGGUAAACAAAUGGGCAUAACUCGGUAAACAAGUGAGUAUAACCUGAUAAAUAAGUUAGCAUAAUCCAGUAAACAAGCGACCAUAACUUGGUAAUUCUAACGAAAAGAAAAGUUGUCUAAACAUAUCAAUUUGUAGAUCUUGGGAUGAUUAAACUAAGGUGAAAACAACUCGUCACUCGGCUGCACUGUUUAGGAGAUAAAGAAGUUUCCAACAGAAAAUCAUGUGGAUUUAGGUAGACCAGACGGACGCCGCGUGCUAGCAGUAGGGUUCGACGGUCGCCUUGUCGAGGCAAGCGCUGAUAACGGGCGCCGCAUGCUAGAACAUGAGUGCGCACGCCGCCCAUAAUUUUGUCCACCAAAUUAAAUUUUUAUGCACCUCAAUAAAUAUGUCUAAUUUAGAAGGACGGAACUUUAUUAUCAAAUUUUUAUAGGCAGCAAAAAAUUAUCUCUAAUUUAGAAGGCUGGACGGUGCUACGAUGUGCUCAGUGCUCUACUACGAUCAGCCAGCGAGGCUGGACGGGCUGCACCAGCACUACUCUUGGGGUAAUCUGGUGUUGUUGGGCCAGGCUGCUGGAUUAUGGGGCACGAUACGAAAGACCACGUAGACGCACGCGGGCGCGGGAAGACCGUGGGGGCGCCGUACGCUAAUUAGCGUGGGCACGGUCGCCCUAUAUAUAGUCCAGUGCGGCACGUGACUCUUCAAUUUUGGGUAUUACUUGUUGUAUGAUGCUCCUUGAAACUUAUCCUCGCUAAGACUUCGCCUUAUGAAAUGCAUAUCUUUUCUUUCAGUACUUGCUCAUGUCGACCCGAUUAAAAAUAGAUCGAUGAAAGAGAAUUAAUGAGCUCAACUUAAUCCGUUUGAUAAUGUGAUUCGUCAUAAUUAUCCUGGUAAGCAGAUGUAGAUAAUCUGAAAAAUAUGCACAAAUAAUCUGGUAGGUAGAUGAAAAUAACCUGGCAAACAUGACAGUACUUUUUAUAGGUACUAAUAAAUAGGGGAAGAUAACCUAGUAAAUAUGCACAAAUAAUUUGAUAGGUAUAAACAAAUAUCGUGUAACCAUGAGACUUAUUUUUAUUAGUCGUAUUAUGUCACGUAGAUAAUCUGAUAAGUAGAAACAAUUAACCUGGUAAGUAGGAAAUACUAACCUGAUAAGUAGGAACAGGUAAUCUGGUAAGUAAUAACACUCAACCUGAUAAGUAGAGACAAUUAACUUGGUAAGUAGCCACAAUUAACUUGACAAGUAUAUGUGGAUAAUCUAAUCUGAUAAAUAGACACGGUUAACUAUAGUAGGUGUGGAUACUGGUAAGUAGACGUGGGUAAGAUGACAAGUAGGUUGGUAAAUUGACAAGCAAACGUAGCUAAAUCGGCAAAUACUGAUUAAGUCAAUAAGUAAGCGCGUAUACAAUGAGUAAGGACAAACAGAUAAACUAGCAACUAGGUAUUGCAAAUGGGCAAAGUUAAACUUGAAGUAUAAUUUGCGAAAUAUGCGGUAGUGUUACGUUUUUAAGGACAACUUGCACGUUUGACAAAUUUUAUACGUUUUAGAUAGAUCAAUUUUCUAUACCGCAAAAAGUAUGUCUAAUUUGAAAAAAAAAACAUUAAAGCGAUGGCCAAGCAGCUACUGAAGCUGGGCUGAGAUGCGAGCUGGCGUUGCUGGGCCAACGAGCUGGCGUUGCUGGGCCAAGCCGUACUGCACGCGGCUGCGCGGACGUGCGCUCGCAAGGACAGGACCGCGCCGCACAAUAAGCUCGCCGGGCACGGUCGCCCCGUAGUUGGCUCCAAGAAUAUCACGCCUUCGGCUUCUGUGUCGAGAUGCACGCGACCAAAGUACAACACCACAAACUUAUUACAUCAAAAAAAAUAUAACGACUCUAAGUAGACUCAAUUCGGCGACUAGACCGCCACCCAUGAUGGCUGAAAAUGUUCCUGACCACUUGCUCUAGCUUGAUGCACGCCAUCAAAGACAGUUGGCGAUCCGCUAGCUUGAGUAGCGUCGACCAAGUAUGGAGUCAAAGUGUGCAUGAAUAUAACACCUGCAUAAGAGAACUUAAUUUUUUGCAAUUAAAACAUGAUCAUUUCUACAUAACCAAAUUGCUCAACAUAAAGCUGCAGCCCUAACCAAAAUAAGUGUUGUCAAUCUACUAUUAACCCCACGUAACCAAGACCCAAACAUAUGGGAAACAUCACGAGGGGGAAAAAGAUUAGAAGUUAUUUGUACUAUUGACCAUACUGAUCGAGAGACAUGACAUCGAAAAAAGAGGUGUACAAUAGUCUCAUCCUCAUGAUAGAAACUGCACUUUGAGCUACCCUGAUCCAAUUCCGCUUUAGCAGGUUGUCUUUAGUUAGAGUGACCCCGCGCCGCAAGAACCAAAAAAUAUUUUUAUUUUGAGAGGAAUCUUUAACUUCCAAAUCCCAUCAUUAGAAUUCGGUAUGUUAGAGUUGACCAAACCCUGAUACAUUGACUUGACCGAAAACAAACCACUAGGGUGAAGGUUCCAACGAAACUCAUCCCGUCCGGUGGACAAAUUAACAUUGACAAGGCGAUUCAAGAGCUCCGUCCAGGCCACCAGUUUAGGUCCAACAAGGCUACGCCUGAAGGACACAUUCGGUGGGAAGUAAGCAAAAACCUGUGCCAAAGUAUCAUGCUUAUUCCGAACACGCGCUGCCCCCCAUGCGCCCUCCAACUGCCCCGCCGCCGACUCCUGCGGCGGAUUCGCCAGCUCCUCCAGGGCGGCACUCCUGGACCACGUCACCGGCACGGCGCACGGGUGGCCGUGCACCAGGAUCACCAGGUGGCGGUGGAUCGAGGGCGUCCCGCUCCGCGACGGCUUCAACGUGCUGGACGUCGUCGACGACAGCGGCGGCAGCAGCACCCACCUCUGCCUGCUUCUGGUGUCGUCGCACGAGGGAUCAAUCGGGCACGCUAUAUCUGUUGUGUGCGUCGACAGCCGCCGUUACCGGUGAAAGCUCAAGCUCGAGGCCUCACGGUACAUGCCUCGUGAUGGCGAUCUCUACCGCAGACACUGCCAGAAGUUCGCUUCCAGGCUCGCGAGCGAUGAUUUAUCGGUGGGAUGCCCGACCCGAACGACUGCUUCCGGUUCAUCCUGCCCAAGUCUCUUAAGCCGGAUGAAAAGGGCGCUAUCAAAGUCGCAGCACGUUUAUACUCCCUGCCUCUGAUAUGAAAUAUAGGUACGGGGUAUAAUUAGUCCAAAGAUUAAUAUUUUCGACUCUGUCUAUCGUCAUUAUCUAAUUAGCCCAAAGAUUAAUAUUUUCGACUCUGCUACCAUUAAAUUCUAAACCCCUUCUACUUUUUUUUUGAGGACGCAACGGUCGAUCCCCGUAAUUCGAUUAGAAGACUAGAAUUAGCCAUGUUCAUGAGAAAAACCGGGUCCGAAAACCGAUACAAAUGCACGGUUUAUUUAAGGAAAGUUGUGCGAAAAACCUUAACAAGAGAAUACACAAGAACCGAAUAAACAAACCGCCACCGCCAAGACGAAGACCUCCUUCGCUCCAACAACGCCGAACAGGGAACGGCUCCUUGCCCUAUAAGAAGGUAGGCAGAGCGGGGCUUCUUCGACGACCGGAGACAGAAGAGGUUGCCCCAACGAUAGCGGCUCGGGCAUCGGUACUUCUCUGAUCUUCAUAAUUGUGCCACUUGAAAACUUGAUCAUGUGGUAUCUUCGUUUUAAUCCAACACUCCUUUCCAAAAUAAGCGAGCUCUAACCAUGUACAAUCUGGAAUGAAUCCCCUCAUGUAGUUUGGAAUCGCAUCAUAUAAGUUGGCACGUUACCUAGACACACGAGUCAAUCAACACUUUCCUACUCCCAUAUAUAUGAUAAGUUGGAGCCUUGCUAGUUGUCCAAUUGAUUUUCUACCGUGGUCAUUGGUCCGUUGAGACUUUAAAUUGGCAGUUUCUUUGGAGCAACCGGAAUAAAUGCCAAGUACUUAAGGAAAUAAUUCUUCUUGUCAGUUAAACAUAUUGGGUACUCACCACCAGAUACAGGACUGUCGAAGGCAUCAGACUUUCCUGAAGGCUUUCCUUCAUGCCUUCGACAAAGGCACCGAUAUGCCGUGGGCCACCGGCAAAGAUGGCCCCAGGACAAUUGCAAAGAGCGGCCCACAACAAAGACUACUCACAUCUGCGCUCCCCCGCUGUGGUUAACAGCGUGUGAAACUGCGUUAUCUUUGGAAACCAUCUUUUUUUACCCCUACCCCGCGGGUCAAAAUCAUUUUGCUGCAAUGAUCACAAAUUUUUUAUCAAACUCUUUGCCCAAGGCCUGGCCUUCAGCGGCUUUACAACACGAGAGAUGCACUGCCGUCCGCAUAAUGGGCCGGCCAGGCCAUUUCCCUGCGUCACCGUCCAACAGCGCUGCGCUUCAGUGAACCAGGUUGGAAAUUUAGUCCCACCUCGCUAGUUUAAAACGAUUUCAACCAACAUAAAAGGGCUCCUCCGUCCGUGGUGUUGACUUCCGAUUAAAUAAACGUAUUGAUCCUACAUGCUCUCUCGCCUGGCCCGUGGGCCCGGUUACUACAUCUGCUCUCUGCCCUGUGGGCCCGAUUUGAUUGGGGUCCGUCUUAGGUAGUAAGGGUGACAAACCGGGGACGCCCGGUGUAAGCUUCUGGACCCGAUCUGCCCAGUCAAAUCGAGCGGGCAUUUUUUUCAAUUUUUAAAGGGUUGUUUGCCGAAGGCCCCGAAAUAAAGCCUUCGUCAAAGAGCAUUUGUUGUUUUCUCUUUUGGAUUUUUUUUCAUCUUAUAAAUCUAUUGUUUUAUAAAUAUAUACACCAUUUAAUGGUAUGUUUGGAUUGAGCCCAAGAUUGACUUACAAAAAUUAAGAGUACUCUUAAUUAGUUUGCUCCUCAUCUUGUACCAAUACUUCAGUUUGCGGUAGUUUCUCUCCAGUCUGAUAUUUCAUCAUAGCAGUAUAACAAAAAGUUGAUUGUUCUAAUCCCCUAAAAGAACUUUUUGGAAUUAAAUAACUGUAGUUGAGAAACCCCUUUUGGAAUUAAAUGGAACAACAGCCUUCCUUGGAUCCUUGUACCAUUAUUGACCCCAAGGCAUCUCCUAAGAAAAAAGGGGAUAUUUCAUAAAGGAUCUCCCUGACUUAGCCCCUUAAAGGUUAUGAAAUAUUCCUCAUUUUCUCAAUUCAAGUUGAUGGAGGAUUUUCUAAUUCAACUGCCAUCCUGAUCGAGUUGAUCCAUGUAGAGCAGAGCCACUCUCUCUGCAUGACCUCGGUGAGGAAAGGCCAUUAAAAUUUAUUAUAGGCCAUCUUGAAAUCUAUAUUUAGCAUGGUUUCCCUUCCUAGUUACUUCUAAUUCAUACAACACCUCGAUGGCUCUUACAGAACAACCACACCUUCCAUAAUAUGUCUGCUAGGAGUGAAAGCAGUUUCGGCUCUGCUAGUUAUCCUGCAGCUGGAGGAGUCAAUCUGAUUGGCAACACUUUCAGAUCAUUUUGGUGAUCACCUUAGGCAAAUAAAUAAUGAAUCUGUAUUGCUAGAUAACCUUAUCAUAUUUUAAUCUUGGGAAUCAGGGAGAUAACUCCGUAGUUAACCCCCUAGCUUUCAGAAGAAAAACUCCAUAGUUGUCUCCCGGGAUUCAAUUAAUCUAAUCUCAUAUAAUUCACCUAGCAUCUCUUUGUCCCCAAGCUUGACUUGGUGCGAAACCAAGGUAUUUGGCAACAUGACAGAAAACCGCAGCGCGGAAAUCGAGGGGCUCGCAUGACGUAUCACGCAAGGAAAACGGAAAACGGUGGGGCCCUAAUUAGGUGGGCCCCAUAUAUCAGUGAGCCAGGUAAAGGAGUCGUACGUCGGACGAUCCGCGUCGAUACGCAACCUUCUAGAUCAGCACAAUACAUCUAUAUCAAGCAAGGCCCAUACGUAUUAAUCAGCUUUAAAUACUUACAUUUUUGCGAGAAUUAAAUACUUACGUUUUAAAUAGACGCGUACGCCACGGCGUAUUUUUUUUAAUAUACUAGACUAAUUAGAUAGCCGAGUCUGUAAUUCUUCCAUGGUAUUUGCAACAACAGAAAGAAAAAAAUCUGUGAUACAUUGCGCAAUGGAGUCGUAGGAGAUUUGAUGUGGCCGGAUUUACCUUCCUUUAGAAGCAUAUAAAAAUACAUGAAAAUGAACCAGCGAUGGCAUGAACAACGGGAAUUAAAAUGAUAGUAGAGAAAAAACGUAAAGAAAAACAAUGACGACGCUCUACAUUCUCACAUCGUCCAAAAACCGUAGCGCGGAAAUCGAGGGGCUCGCAUGACAUAUCACGCAAGGAAAACGGAAAACGGUGGGCCCCUAAUUAGGUGGGCCCCAUAUAUCAGUGAGCCAGUUUAAGGAGUAGUACGUUGGACGAUCCGUGUCGAUACGCAACCUUCUAGAUCAACACAAUCCAUCUAUAUCACGAAGCAAGGCCAUACAUAUUAAUCAGCUUUAAAUACUUACGUUUCUUUGCGAGAAUUAAAUAUUACGUUUUAUAAUAGACACGUACGCUACGGCGUAUUUUUUUCUUAAUAUACUAGACUAACUAGACAUCCGAGUCUGUAAUUCUUCCAUGGUAUUUGCGACAACAGAAGAAAAAAAAUGUGUGAUACAUUGUGCAAUGGAGUCGUAGAAUUUGAUGUGGCCGGAUUUACCUUCCUUUAGAAGCAUAUAAAUUCGUGAAAAUGAACCAGCGAUGACAUGAACAAUUGGGAAUUAAAACGAUAGAGAAAAAAGUAAAAAAAAAAAAACAAUCUACAUUAAUUCUCACAGCGUCCAAAAACUGUACAGCGGAAAUCGAGGAGCUCGCAUGACGUAUCACGCGAGGAAAACGGAAAACGGAAAACUGUAGGCCCAGGCCAGGAGUACUGAUCCGAGGAGGAUCCGCUGAAAAGGAAAUCCGCGACAGACGGGAGAGAUAUACAUAUACGGCGGAAAGGCAACCCGCGAGUACUGAUUGACAGACAGCAAAGGUAGUACGACUGCUACUACGCUCGCCAAUUAAGCCAGCCAGCCAAGCUCCUUCCUUGCGUGAUGACGCCGCCGUGGGCUGGCAGCGGCAGGGUCGCUGACCUGACGGCGGAGGACGACGUCGUCUCCCUCGACUGCGGGAUCUGCUUCCUCCCGCUCCAUGAGCUGCCGCUGCUCCAGGUAAAUCAGCCGAUCCAUAUCUCUAACCUAGAUUAAUUCAUGCUGA